CCUGUAAUUUAUUAAUAAUUAUUCACCUUUCAAUUGAAAUUCUAGGCAAAUGUUUGUCAAGAAAUUAUUGGAAAAUGGAAAGUUAUAACAUUUUAAAUUUUUCAAAUCUGUAUGAAAGUUGAUAAAUGAAAAUCAAGUUUGAAAUGAAUGAAAGUAUUCAGAUAAUUGAUUUUAUUGACUCAUAUUACUCUCAGAUGGCGGUUUCCAUUUUCAUCACGUCCCCAUCCGACCACGUAUCCAGAUCUUCCCACAACAUUGGCAAGAAGCGCAGGUCCUGUCCAGAGACAGAUUGGUCUGAUUACAUCAUUAUACUCCACUUUAUCUCUCAGACUCAACACUGCUAGAUCCGCAUCAGCACUGCUCCCUUUGUCAAAAUUAGGAUGGAGCUGGUACGCUGCUAUUUCUCCAUUCACAGAACCCGUUUCAAACCAAUCUCGAAGGCGAUAGCGUCCCAAGGAUACUACCAAUGUAUUAGGAGUAAUCAAUGUUCCCGCACAUUGGAACUCGAAAUUCUUUUUGGCGACAAAAAUUGCAACCAGCCAGGGCCACUGACCCCGAAAUGCAUUCGUUCCUCCAGCCACUAGAAGAUUGAACUUGUUAAUGCUGCUUCUACCACACUCCACCUUAUUUUGCUUGCUGAUUGACACGGAUUUCUCAGAUGAUGGAGUGACGAUUGGCUGAUAUUCCACUGGUGGAUUGUCUUGAAUGGAUGGAAAGUUUGGCAAGGGCUGAGGAAAAUUAAUAUUUGAAUCGAAAUUGAGCUUUAACGAAGGAGGAUACAGCGUAUGUUUUAGGGAACUUUUUGCACAAUAAUACAAAUAUUAAUAAAAUUAAUAAAUUAUAAGAUAAAAAAUUUCUUUUAUAUUUAUCGCUAUACACUAGAAUUUAUUGAUUAGUAAUCAAUAAUCUUAAAGAAAAAUUUUCUUAAAAGUUUAUAUUAAUAAUUAUAUAUAUCUCUUUAAAAAAAUCUAUUGAAAUUUUCUACAUACCGCUUGGACCUGAACAGAUGUGUUCAUCGUUAAACCAUAAAUCAGUUAAAAUGGGUAUGGGCCAAGGAAGUGGAAAAUGGACUUUAUAAUAUAAAGGCCUACCCUGCAUGACUUCUCUAAUCGAUUGUUCCUUCGG